AUUACAUAAAAAUAUUAAUUUUGUGAAAUGUAAGAUGUCAAAUGACAAAUGUCUGCAAAAUGUUUAGUUUAAGUCUUUGUGCACGUCUCAGAUAAGCAGUUCAGUUCAACAGGUUGAUAAGCUGACUUCCCACAGGCAUGUGGCAGAGCACACCUGCAGAUGAGCUGGCCUUAUCUGUAGGAAAAGUUGUUGCUUGUGAUAUCCUGACCUAAUGAUAAGAGAGAAUUAUUUAGAAAACGAAACCAUUUUUCUAGGAAGAUGAAUUUCAUCUCAGAAAUACUUCAGUUCUACCCUAGACUGUAUAACUUGUAUAGCUCUACAGCUUUUGCACAUUUGCAGAUUUUGGGGCUAGGAUAGGUUUUAGUGACUCUUCAUAAGUCCAUGCCUGUGAUCCUCUAAGAAUUUGCUAUUUUAUAUUUAGAUGUUUAAAGUGCAAUGGCUUUAUAGUUUGAAAAAUAUCGAUGGGGAGAAAAAGACAAUAAAAACAAGAGAAUAGAAUUGCUGUAGUAAAUAAGACAUAAGAACACAAGGAGAUGACAGGAUAAAGCAGAACAAUAAAAGGUGGUUUUGUCACUCAUAGCCUGUAGUCCUGAAUAUGCAAACCUGAGCAUGGUGGGGCCUAAUUUAUAAUUCUGAUAAUUCAUUUUAUUAAAUAUAACCAUUUCAGAUGUUGCUGCUUCAGAGUCAAUCUUAUGAGAGAGUGAAAAGUGUCGGUUUUCUAAGAUAUAAUAAGCUAAGUUUAAAAAAGACAUGGAACCAUUUCAAACUUUCCUCCUAAUAUCUUUGAAAUUGUAGAGAUGCACUAUUCUUCCAUCUAAUUUUUAAACAGAGAAAAAGAAAACAAAUAAACAAAACCCCCCAUGCAAUUAUUCAUUUAAAUAUUGAUUUCUUAUUACUUUUUGAGGUUUUUUCCAUGUCUCAGGACACAUUCAACUCAUCAGUAAAAAUCUGUCAGUGUGGUGCAAAACAGUUCUUGGAUUCUUAAUUUGAUAGAAAUUUGAUGAAAAUACUUUUUUUUGAAAAAUACUUUAAAGAAAAGAUCUAGAAAAGGAGGUAAUCCUUCUUCCAUUGAAUAUGUUUCUGUAUUUCCAGGAAAGCUGACAAUCAUGAGGGUUCAAAAUUUGUCUGAACACUUCCCUCCAAGUGUGGCUGUCCUGUCACUAACAUUACAAAAUGUGGCAAUUGCAAAAAUUGUAUUAUAAAGUUACAAAAAUUUUCUCUUCAGUUCUCAAAUAUGGAAUUAAAUGUAAUCUAACCCCAUGAUCACAGUUCCUUUUUACUUGUCAGCACUAAGUUGUUGCCAAUAAAAUAAUAGUCAUCAGCAUAAUCUGAUGAAAACUUCAGAGGUGACCUCCUAGUAAAUAUUUUUCAUCUUAGAAAGUAUGCUGACUGUAUAGCCUCUUGUAUCAGAAACUCAAAGUUAUCACUGCUGCUAUUCAGAUUAUGAAAUCAAUGUGCCAGAAGCACACUAUCCAUUACUCAGAGAUGGUAAUAGUUUUACAUGGUGCUUAGAAUUUAUUCAGUUACUUCUCUUUGUAAUACUGUAGGUUUUACAUCUUAGUGGGUGUGGACAUCUCACUGCCCAUUAAACUUCUUUUGCAUCAGUCUUGAAUACGGAGCCCACAGAUCUGGCUUUCUUGGAAUGUGAAGAGCCUGGGAGUCCUGAGAUUUUUCUUUCUGAGGUUCUUCUGAAUUUCUUCUGCAACAGAGAAGCAAUAACCUACCAAAUAUGGUUAAGAAUAUUCUGAAGGAGAUGGAUCUAUUAGUGCUUUCCCUAUUCCAGAUGGAGAAACUGAAAAGGUGAAGAGGCUUCCUAAGGCCACCGAGUAAGGACUCCUGCUGGAGAGCCACUGGUCUUGUCAGCUCUCUUAAAGUUCAUCCAUGCAGACAUGAAUUUCCCUCCUUCUCAAAGAAAGAAAGGAUUGGUAAAAACCUGCCCACAGAAGAUGUUCAGAGAUCUGACAGGAAGCAAUGCUCUGGAAACCGUAUUCCUAUGUUGUGCACUGAUGAAAUGAUUUAAAGAGGACAUCCAGUCACAGCUUUGUUUAUGUUAAGAAGGCAUAAACCAAUAAAAGAGUAGAAAUUCUUGGGUUUUGCAACAAUUUAUAUUUGUAACUUGUCUCAAAAAAUUAUGAUUUAACUAGAUUCUGGUAAAAAAAUUAUUUUUUCUGUGAAGGUCUUGAAAAACCUGAACACUUUGAAGUUACUUUUUAUAGCCUAGAACUAUUUCAGGCAUUUUCUUAUGUCUCUAGUUUCUUCUGUUUUCAUAGAGAAAGGGUUUCUGAUUUUCAUUCAGCUUAUACCAUGCUUCUUUCUUGAUUCCAUUACCCUUCUUCAGUUGCAUGAACAAGAGCAAGGCAUCCCUACAGUAUGCCAAUAGAGGAAACCAAUACUAUGGGGAUAUUUGACUAGUGAAGAAGUAUUUCCAUUUCUCACCUUGCUUUCUAAGCAGUGUUGCUGCAUGCACAGGAUCUACAAAGAUAUCACAAGAAGGAGCUGUGAUAUUUUUACAACAAUAAUAAGUCACUGAAGUCUAUGUCAGAAAAUGCAGAAUUGCCUACUUUUUUUUGACCUAAAAUAACAAAAGCAUAAGAUUACAUGUUUCUAAACUGAAAUGUCUGUCUGUAAAUCCUAGUUUGGGAUUCAGGCAAUUACCUUGCUAAAGGACAUUUGAAAACUGUGUGUGAAGAUCAAAAUAUCAAUGCUUAAGGUUCUUGGACAUUAUCACAUCUCAUUAAAACAUGUCCAUCUGUGAAAGAUGAUAUUUGUGUAAUGAAUCAGCUGCCCAAACAGAUGUCUAGAGCCAUCUGAGAAAGAAGUGAAAAAUUUUAGUGUUUGAGGUUACAUUGGACAUGCACAUUAUCAGUUAUGAUGUAGUGCAAAUCAAAAUUGUGUUAAUGUAAAACUGAAGUGUAGUAAGAUGAAAUGGAAUAUAAAUAUUGCUUAAUGCUUUCUUGAAAUACUAAAAUUCAGUUCUCUUUCCAUCACUGUGAAAUACAUUUUGCUCAGUACAUGAUCAUUCUAAAUUUCUUUUCAGUAGAUAACCUUCCUUAUCAUAAUGUUAAUGAAUGAAUCUUGUUUGAAUUUCAAAAUGCAGUAGUUUUAAAAAUAGCAUUUGGACAUAUUAUGAAAAGGAUGUAAAUGUAUUUUUUUUAAAGUUCAGAAGGCCUAGAAAUAUCACUUGCUGUUUAAAGUACAGUAUUAUUGCUCAUAAAAGACUGAUUGCCCUUAGUGUUCUAAUUAAAAUGGAAAUUUACUGUCCAAACUACCUUUCAACAAUAAUAAACUGAUUUAAAACCUAAUUUAAAGAAAAAUCUCAAGGAUAAACAUCUUAUUUUCUAUAUGAAAAACAAUAUACAAGAUCAAUACACUAUUUCAUUAUUGCCAAUAAAAUAUAUUUUUGAAAAUACACUCAGUUUAACAUGUGCAUAAAGAAUGCUUUACAGACCAAUACUAUUACUACUACAACUUGUCUUCAAAUUGUUUACUACAUAAAGAUUAUAAUUUGCAUUCUGAUCUUACAUCAUUAUAUUAUCAUUGAAACUAAUUUAUUGGCCAAAAAAACCCCAAACAAAUAGUGAAUAAAAAAAUGGCAAAGUUUGGAUUCUUACCUUCUGAAUUAAGGUCCUAACAGGAGUUCUGUAAAACGACAGAGAAACACUUGAGAAGAGAGUCAGCAGGAAGGGCAACCCAGGUCUUUGGUGAGCUAUUUCUCUUUCUUAAAUGCUUAUCUUAAGUGACUACAACUGGGUUGUAAAACAAACAAACAAACAAACAAACAAAACCAGAAGACCAGAGAAACAAAGACAUGUAUGCUCCUCCUUUGAACAGAAGAAUACAUUCAGGAAAGCAGAACUAUUCAUGAUUCAGUUUGAGGAUCCAUGAAGCUUCUGGAAAGUCAAGCUGUAUUUACAAGACCCUCUCCUUGCUUGUCAGCAUUUUCCAGGAAUAUAUUAGGUACAAUUGACAUAUAUUAUUCCAGGUGUCAGAAGUCUCUAAAGGUAAAAAAUUUGAAAUAGUUGUGAUCUUGAUUCUAAACUUCACUUGCAAUUUCUUUACACUAUUCUAUUUCUUAUGGUUACUCAUAACCAGUCUUUAUCAAGUCAUAUCUGCUGGAAAGAGGAAGAAUUUUUAAAUGAAAAUAAAUCAGUGAGCUAUUUCUGUGUCUUUUAUAUCUGACUCUUCUCUUGAUUAAUUAAUCCUCUCCUCACUCACUUAAAUAC